GCUGUACCUGUUCAGAUCUCCCUACCUUUGGCCUGCUGCCUGUUGCUCUGAAAAGACUAUAAGAAGCUCCAUAAGUUUACUCAUACUUUUGAGAUCUCCCAACAGAAGAAGACAGAUCUAUUAGCAGAGGACCACGAGGACUUCCUCUCUCCUGUCUCUUUUAAAGAGAUAGAAACAAAAGGAAAAAAACGAAAGGAAUAAAAUUCUGGCACUUAAGAAAAGAAUGGAAACAAAGAGGAAAAAGCCAAAGAAGUGGACAUGGAUAAUAUGAAACAGGCUCUAUUCUUGGCCAGUAGCACUGACUUCCCCCACUCUUUGUGAUCCUGCUGGUGAAGGAGGAAACUCCAGCCAGGAGCAGCCAGGGCACCAGAGCAGAUCCAGCUCUUGGGAAUCAGGCACACCCUGGACAUGAGGACAGGCUGGGGUUUUGGCUCAUGGACUGACUGGGAUGUGGUGGGGCUGUAGCUGAAGCUGGGCCAUAUAUUUCAGUGAUAGGCAACACUCUUCAUAAAUAAAUUCAAUGUUCUGGAAAACAAAUGAAAAAAAAAAUUCAUAAAAAUUAGUCUACAUUAACACAUUAGGAAUAUUUUCUGAAUCCUUAUAGUGUUCACUAAAUGUCACACUUGGACAGUUGUGUUCUUUGAUACAAUUUUUAUAUACAAUUUUUUACUAAAAUGGUGUUCAAAAGAUCUUGUGUGGAGGUUUUCAGAAAUGAAGGAUAUUUCUGCUGAUAGAAAUUCCAUCAUGACAGCCUGCUUAUGGAACCUGUGGACACAGAUCCAUUUGAGCAUCAAAAUAAGGAGUGAGAAUGAUUGAAUUUUUUUACUAAAUGAAUGUUCUGUUCAAUCUAAACAAUUGAGUACAGUUAGUCUUAAAAUACUUUUUAUAAGUAGUUUUCAAAGGCCAACAGCUUCUAGUCCUUUUAUAAUUUUUUUUAAUGAAGAAACCCUGAACCCAGUAGUCAUAUUCCACAAAUCUGGCCACAUAAAAGCAUGUCUUGUAGUACAAACUGCAAAAAAGUCUGACUUUCCUCUGCCAUCUUAACAAAGUGACAGGUUCUACCAGGAAGCUGUUUAUUCAUGUGCACUAGCUAGAGGUGGAACAUGAAUUAAAAACUUAGACUAGAUACCUCAUUAUUUUAUAGUUUUAUAAACUGGCCUUCAGAAACACUGGAAAAAAGUGCAGAAAAAAACCGACAGAAAAACUUACUGGUAAAUACGGAAACCAUAUUGAUCCUCUAAGUCAUUUUCAUGAUCUUAUUGAACUAUUUCAAUUAAAAAUAAAUACUAGAAAAAAAAUCUAGAUUAAGUGAUCCAACCUUUACAUUUUAAAAAUGUACAUUUGUUUCUGAUAAACAGUUUUAACAUGAUAAUACUUGGAUUAUGUAAUUGGCUGCCUUUUUCAUUGAUAGCAUUGAUUGAGUUUUUCACUAAGUAUCUAUGUUUUUGACAGCUGGGUAAACCACUGGAUUUCCUGGCAUGGCAACACCCAUAGAACUGUUUUAAUGACAGGUAAAGUUGCUUUUGCCUUUAUUUCAUGGGAACUUGCAAAUCCUUAGAAAAAAUGAAGUAUUGAAAUACGUGCAGUAAGCAAGCCAAUCUUGUUGGAGAUUAUAUUUACAACAGCUCUUUUAAAAUACAGUUUCUUUAAAUUUUUUUUUUUUUGGUCCUCCACCAAACUGUAUCAUCUGAUUGGUUCAUGUCUGAAAAUUGUCAAAAUAACAGAAUUAAUAUUUCAAUGAGGGAUCAAGACUGCAAGAUGAUAUGAGGCCAGUAGAUGAGCAGAUCCCUGUUUUUCUCUGUUCUGUGGACAAUAGCAUUACCUUAAUGCCCACUAUCUAACAUGAGGUCUUUAAAUUUUAAAGAAUAAAUGUUAGAGAAUUAGUCUCUCUUAUUUGAGACUUUAAGCACAGUCAGUUCAAACAGUCCCUUAUAUAAAUACGUAGGUGUAAAGUAAUAUUAGUGAUGCAAAUUCUGCAAUAGGAAAAUUAUGUAAGUGUCUUAACAGCAUUUCCUGAAUGCAAACAAUUUCAAAAUAUUCUCAAAUGUAUAAACAGUAAAUUUUUAUAGCAAAUCCUCAGAAGCUUUAAGAUUAAUAAAAAUUCAGACUCAGCUGGACACGGCUCUUUAGCAGCAUGCUUUGACUGGAUCAGCUUUCAGCAAUAGGUUGGAUAAAAUGACCUCUGAAGACCUAUUCUAACUUAAAAUAUUCCAGAACUUAAAAUUUUUUAGAUUUAAUAACUUUAAAAUUAAUUGAAGAAAAAUUUAUGUAAAAUUGAAUCUGUUUAGCCAUGGUAGUGGCCACUAGUGUUCUGGACUUUCAACAAUAUAAAGGACUUACAAAAGAUUACAUUUGUUGCACUUUAGGGAUCCAAGCAGUUUUCAGAUCUGAGGUGUUUCAUAUUCAAUCCACAGGUAGAAAUAAAAUACCAGGGUCUAUCCAGACAUCCUUUAAAAUCUAUUUUUACAUACAUGAAGAAAAUCAACUCAAUAGGCUUUUAUGAAAGCUUUUUCUAAAAGCUUCAAGAAGCUAACAGCCUUCCUUAUGACCAAAUUUAUCAGUAUUUAGAGAAGAUUAGAUGUAACAUUGAAUAUUUAAUAAGUAUGUAACUCUUCACACUUAAACUCAAAGAAGUAUCUUGUAAUUCACUCUAAUAAUCUACAUCUCAGAGAUACAAUGAAAUUACAUUCUGUCAUACAUUCUAAGUUAAAUGCUACAACUAUUAUAUCAUAUUGCAAGAAGGAAGCAGAAUAUGUUGUACAUGAAAUAAUGUUCUAAUGUCAGGCUAGAAACCCUUGUUACUAAAAAAAUCAGUGACACCAAAAUGCUGCAUUGAUAUAAUCAGUAAAAAAGUAUGGUGAAAUGAAAAUGGGAACAUUAAUUGUUAAGUAAUUUGAUUCUUUAAGCCAAUAGACCUAAAGUUAAAAUACUAUCACUAUAUAUAGUCUGUAAAUACUGUAUCAUUAUUUAUUUAUGUAUUUAUGUAUUUUCUUAUUUAUUUCACAAAGCUAUUAAUAUUUAAUUUAGAAUCAUUGCCCAAAUCUUGUAUUGGGGGAAAAAUAUUUUCUAGAGGUCCAUCUGUUAAAGACACAGUUUGCUCAUUUUCAUGUAUAUACAAGAAUGUACAUAAAUAGUAACAAAAGGGAUGCUAAGAUAUUGAUACUCUUAUGGCUUUAACAAAAAUAUGCUAUGGAAUAUGAUAUAACAAAAUCAUUACACCUUGGUACCACUUUUAUUUGACCAUUUCUCUAAGUUCUGGGUAAUUUUUUCAUGCUCUAGAAAUAUCACAGUGUAAUGAAAUAUUUAAUUCAAAUAAACAAAUAAAAGUAGGUAAAAUCCACAUUUAUUUCAAAGUGCGUCUGAUUAAUUUGGUUAAUUUUUUCCCUGCUAAAAGUCAUAAAGAACUGUGUGCCAUGAUAUAUUUGUAACAUCUGUGUAAUUAUAGCCUGUAGCUUUGCAUGAGCUGAUUACAAAGAAAACAAUUUUAGUUUGGGGCUGAACUGGUUUUAAAUCUACUUAACAAAUAUAUAAUAUAUUCAUUCUGCUGGUUGUAGCUUUUUUUUUUUCUCACAUUUACAAUUAUUUCUGUAUUUCAGCAUACAAAGAUACAAUGGGUAAGGACUGACAGAAAAGCAGGAGAGAGAGAAGUAAAAAGGGUAGGAAUGUGGGAUAAUUUCUUGAAAAAAACUUAAUUUUCAAAUAUGUAAAAUUACACUGAACAAUUUCCUUGAAAUUAGCACUUUUUAAAUUGUUUAGCAAGGUAAAGAAAAAUGCCUAAGGGGGAGUUACAUUUUAAAAUUUAGGGAAUUUAACUCACAAAUCAGAAAAUACUCUAUGAAGAUUUUUUUCAGAACUAUUUUAUUUGUUUAUUUGGCAAGGUUUGGUAGUAGAAGGUGAAAGGAGUGGCAGAGAAGGUUUCUGUGAGAAAAUUUCAAAAGCUGUCACUUUAUCAGGCACAGCUAAAUUCGGCUAGCUCCAGGAUGGAGAUGCUUUUGGUCAAAGUUGAGACAAUCAUUGAUGCUGUUUGCUCUUCUUUGAUAACAAAUUCAAAAAAGAGUAAAAAUAUCAAUGUGACAGCAGCUGUGAGAGAGGAGUGAGAAGAUGUGAGAGAGACAACUCUGUAGACACCAAGGUCAAUGAAGAAGAAAGAGAGAAGGUGCUGCAGGCUCUGUGGUCUGUGGCUAGGACAAGAGUGAUGGGCGUUGUCCCCUUCAGGGUGGAGCAGACAUCCAUCCUGCAGCCAUGCAGGAGCCCGUGCUGGAGCAGAGGUUCUGAUGACACUGGAGCAGCCUGUCCCAAAAAACUGUACUCAUGAAAAUGACCUUUGCCAGAACAGUCCUUGAGCCUCUUGAGAAGGACCCACGUUGAUGAAUUCCCUGAAGAGCUGUAUCUUAUGGGAGAGAGCCUAUCCUGGAGCAGCAAAAAAGGAGAAGGGGGAAUAAAGAGAUAAUGUGUUAUAAACUGAUUGCAAUUGCCAUUCCCCAUCCACCAUCUAAUGGAAGGAAGCUACACUACUAUGGCAGAAGUUAAAGCAAAGUUGAAGACUCUUCUUAUUGAAGAUUUCCUUGUUUAUACUCACAAAAGUCCCCCAUGAAGAGCUGAGAAAAUGCCCAUAUUAAAUUUUAAUGAAUAUUAUCUGUGACCUUUUUUUCUCAGUUUUAUAUUUCUGCCUGUCUGAAAGCAUAAAAUUAAGUCAAAGCAAGCCCCAUAUGUGUUUAAAUCAAGAAAAGCAAAAACUAUCAACAAAGUAGAAGUGUGAAGUGAUGGUUCUUGUAGCUUGUGGCUAUGAAAAGAAUCCUUCUAGCUCCCAUCUUCUAAGAGCAUUCUACUGCAAAUGCUGAAAUGUGAGACCAAAACUUAUCAGUCUCUUGAAAGGCUGAGGUGCUAGAGAAAAACUGAGCACACUGCAAAUCAGGCUGGGCUGCUUUCCCAGGAACAAGUGUGGGACCUGAAAUAAUUAUGAGUAAAAAAUUAGGAUUAACUAAAGAAAUAGUCUUAGAGGAUUUUUUUUUUUUAUUUUAAACAAUAUUUUCAACUUUUUUUCUAGAUAGUACCAUUUUAAGAAAUGAUUUUUUGGGGUAGGGGGAAGUUUGAAACAAGAGAAGAAGCUACAAAGGAAUAAAAGGAAAGUGAAAGAUAGCAAGCAGUUACUGAAUUACUUUUUACUGUAGUGUCACCCAAAGAUAUAAACCCUCUUUGAGACUAAUCUCAUUUGAGCAUCCUGAGACAUUUAUAUUAGGAAUACCAAAAUGAAGGCUAGAUACACAACUUCAAUUUUAAGAAAAUUUGAAUAAGGACUUUUUCUAUGAAUAGAGACAUUUACUACAAUAUAGUUGAGAGAGUAUUAGUGAAAGAAUAUCCUUGGAUAUGAUGCUAAAAUUCCAAAUUAGGGGAGAGUGUAGAGGCAUUAUGCAAGAAACACCAUAAAAUCACAGAAAACCCCAAAACCACCCCCCAAAAAAAACAGGAACAGAAUUAUUCAUAGCUCAGUUUAAUAAACACAUACAAUUUUGUCUAAAUUUCAUUGUACAUUUUCUAGAUAAAUAGAAUUACAUCUCUAUUCUGUAUUUUCUAUAUAAAUUCUCAUUCAUUUUGUUCAAGUUUUUAGAUCACAGCUGGUCUCUUUGGAGGCACAACUACUCUUUGUAAUCCACCCAGGACUGGCUCCCAUCAUCCCUAUAAGGAAAAUCUUUGAGGUCAUGACUGCAAUCUUUAUCACAUCUGCAUUAUCUGAUUCUGAAAUCAGGUGGAAUUCCUUCCUCAAGGAAGGAUAAUAGUCUUAAGGCAAAUUAUUAAAAAACAGACAAACAAACAGGUUUAUAAGGGGCUUUUCACAGGAAUUACAUGCCAUUGUUUCUCAAGAAAAGCUCUCAGUUUGUGGGUACUUAGAGUUAGUUAAAUGCAUUGCUAAUCUUUUACUCCUUAUACAUAUUUAAAGAGAAUUAUGGAAAUUAAGCCAUAUAACAAUUAAUGCAUUUCAUGAGUUAUGUGACAAAACCUCAUUGUGAUCCAGUAGAUAUUGGCUGUUAAUAUUCAGUCAAGAAAGGCAUUUUAAUCAACUUUAUUUGAUUUACCCGUUACUCGAUUCAACAGUUUCUCAAAUUGACUAGAUGGCUGUGGCUAGUUUGAUUUACAUCUUUUUUGUCUUUUUGUGGCAUAACCACAAUUUUGUAUAGGUAGUAGUAACAACAAGAAACAAGAAAAGAAAAAAGAAAAGAAAAAAGAAAAAAAGAAAAGAAAGAAAUGAAAAGAAAAGAAAAGAAAAGAAAAGAAAAGAAAAGAAAAGAAAAGAAAAGAAAAGAAAAGAAAAGAAAAGAAAAGAAAAGAAAAGAAAAGAAAAGAAAAGAAAAGAAAAGAAAAGAAAAGAAAAGAAAAGAAAAGAAAAGAAAAGAAAAGAAAAGAAAAGAAAAGAC